GCCGCAGAGGCGGCCAUGUACCUUUAAGGCCCCGCUGCGCCUGCGCCUUGGGCUCUCCUGACGCGCCGGGCGGGACCCUGAGGAGCCAGCUGGCGCAGGCUAUGGGCUGGGCGGCGGUUGAGACAGCGGCGGUAUCGGGAGGGGUAGGUGAGGGUCGCGAGGCUGCGUGAGCAUCUGAGUGAACGCGGUGCUUUUGGGAACGCGGGACGGGCGACCUGUGGCGCCAGGAGCGGGCCGAGGCGUGGCGCACGGAUGCCGUCUGGAUGGGAAGUUACGGUUUACAGCGAAGUCCACCCAGCGUUUCCGAGGUGAAGGCGCCGCGCCAGGCCGGGCGGGCGGCUGGUGAUGGGCAAGCCGGGUGUACCAAGUCCAGGAUGCACAUGAGGAGCGUUUGUAGCAGUCACUGAAUCACCUCAUGACUAGCGGGGCAGGCCUCUAAUUCACCGCAGGAUUUCCGGCUGGAGUGCAGUGGCACAAUCACAGCUGACCGCAACCUUGACCUCCCAAGGCUCAGGUGAUCCUCCUGCCUCAGCCCCCAAGUAGCUGGGACCUACAGGUGAGCACCACCACACUCAGCUCU
rnacentral:lncRNA from 10 species